UCCCCGCAGUGGGGGUAAUAAGAAGAAGAACAGAGUUAUUCGUAUUUGCUCGGUGAGAGGGGACCCGGGCGGUAAAUAAAGCUUUCAAAUCACAGAUCUAAAGAAAAAUUAAACAAUAUUAAUCUGAUUAAAAGGACUAAUUUACUAGAGUUACAUAUGUAGGGGCAUUAAAGUACUGCCGGUGUAGAGAUGAAAUUCUAUUAUACCUAUUCCGUGAGGGGACAUAUGGCACAGGUAUAGGCGAAGGCAUCUCCAUAUGUGAUAACUGACGUUGAGGGACGAAGGCUUUGUAUAGCGAAUAGGAUUAGAUACCCUAGUAGUCGAAGCAGAAAAAGCUGAAUGUCAUAGAUUAGAUCACCGACAAUUAUUCUAUAAAUGAAAGUGUAAGCAUUCCACCUCACGAGUAAUUUGGCAACAUUGGAACUGAAAUCAUUAGACCGUAUCUGAAACCAGUAGUGAAGUAUGUUGUUUAAUUAGAUAAUGCGCAAAAAACCUUACCACAACUUGAAUAUUUAUAAUAAUAUUGUCUUUUUUUUAGGCAAUACAUUGUAUUUACAAGCGUUGCACGGCUGUCUUCAGUUAAUGUCGUGAGAUUUUGGUUAGUUCCAUUAAAUUAACGUAAACCCUUAUUAUUUUAAAAAAGAGUU
rnacentral:rRNA from 1 species